GAUGAACGCUGGCGGCGUGCCUAAUACAUGCAAGUCGAGCGAACAGAUGAGGAGCUUGCUCCUCUGACGUUAGCGGCGGACGGGUGAGUAACACGUGGAUAACCUACCUAUAAGACUGGGAUAACUUCGGGAAACCGGGGCUAAUACCGGAUAAUAUAUUGAACCGCAUGGUUCAAUAGUGAAAGACGGUUUUGCUGUCACUUAUAGAUGGAUCCGCGCCGCAUUAGCUAGUUGGUAAGGUAACGGCUUACCAAGGCAACGAUGCGUAGCCGACCUGAGAGGGUGAUCGGCCACACUGGAACUGAGACACGGUCCAGACUCCUACGGGAGGCAGCAGUAGGAAAUCUUCCGCAAUGGGCGAAAGCCUGACGGAGCAACGCCGCGUGAGUGAUGAAGGUCUUCGGAUCGUAAAACUCUGUUAUUAGGGAAGAACAAAUGUGUAAGUAACUAUGCACGUCUUGACGGUACCUAAUCAGAAAGCCACGGCUAACUACGUG
rnacentral:rRNA from 1 species